rnacentral:rRNA from 1 species
ACCGGCCACACUGGGACUGAGACACGGCCCAGACUCCUACGGGAGGCAGCAGUGGGGAAUAUUGCACAAUGGGCGCAAGCCUGAUGCAGCGACGCCGCGUGAGGGAUGACGGCCUUCGGGUUGUAAACCUCUUUCAGUAGGGAAGAAGCGAAAGUGACGGUACCUGCAGAAGAAGCGCCGGCUAACUACGUGCCAGCAGCCGCGGUAAUACGUAGGGCGCAAGCGUUAUCCGGAAUUAUUGGGCGUAAAGAGCUCGUAGGCGGUUUGUCGCGUCUGCCGUGAAAGUCCGGGGCUCAACUCCGGAUCUGCGGUGGGUACGGGCAGACUAGAGUGAUGUAGGGGAGACUGGAAUUCCUGGUGUAGCGGUGAAAUGCGCAGAUAUCAGGAGGAACACCGAUGGCGAAGGCAGGUCUCUGGGCAUUAACUGACGCUGAGGAGCGAAAGCAUGGGGAGCGAACAGGAUUAGAUACCCUGGUAGUCCAUGCCGUAAACGUUGGGCACUAGGUGUGGGGGACAUUCCACGUUUUCCGCGCCGUAGCUAACGCAUUAAGUGCCCCGCCUGGGGAGUACGGCCGCAAGGCUAAAACUCAAAGGAAUUGACGGGGGCCCGCACAAGCGGCGGAGCAUGCGGAUUAAUUCGAUGCAACGCGAAGAACCUUACCAAGGCUUGACAUGGGCCGGACCGGGCUGGAAACAGUCCUUCCCCUUUGGGGCCGGUUCACAGGUGGUGCAUGGUUGUCGUCAGCUCGUGUCGUGAGAUGUUGGGUUAAGUCCCGCAACGAGCGCAACCCUCGUUCCAUGUUGCCAGCGCGUAAUGGCGGGGACUCAUGGGAGACUGCCGGGGUCAACUCGGAGGAAGGUGGGGACGACGUCAAAUCAUCAUGCCCCUUAUGUCUUGGGCUUCACGCAUGCUACAAUGGCCGGUACAAAGGGUUGCGAUACUGUGAGGUGGAGCUAAUCCCAAAAAGCCGGUCUCAGUUCGGAUUGGGGUCUGCAACUCGACCCCAUGAAGUCGGAGUCGCUAGUAAUCGCAGAUCAGCAACGCUGCGGUGAAUACGUUCCCGGGCCUUGUACACACCGCCCGUCAAGUCACGAAAGUUGGUAACACCCGAAGCCGGUGGCCUAACCCCUUGUGGGAGGGAGCUGUCGAAGGUGGGACUGGCGAUUGGGACUAAGUCGUAACAAGGUAGCCGUACCGGAAGGUGCGGCUG